rfam:Triticum aestivum genome assembly, contig: Triticum_aestivum_CS42_TGACv1_scaffold_222569_3B
CAAGUACUCCCUCCGUCUGGAAAUACUUGUCAUCAAAAUGAAUAAAAAGGAAUAUAUCUACAAAAUGAACAAAAAGGAAUAUAUCUAGACGUAUUUUAGUUUUAGAUAUAUUCCUUUUUAUUCAUUUUGAUGACAAAUAUUUUCGGACGGAGGGAGUAUUUG